rfam:Tupaia chinensis contig119682, whole genome shotgun sequence.
AGCUUUGUGCAGUGGCAGUAUCGUAGCCAAUGAGGUUUAUCUGAGGUGCAAUUAUUGCUAAUUGAAAAUGAAGAAGUUAAGUCUUUAGGUAGUAAGUAAGUCAUUAGCUUUUAUAAAAUAAAUAUAUGUGACAACAU